GGCGGGCGGGGGGGAUCACCCUUUAGUCGAGAGGCCACGGGGUGGCGAGCCUCAAAACCGUCACGAAGCGGGACCCCUUGAUGAAAGGGAGCACUUUUGUGUCCGCUGGUUAACAUCAAUUUCGAUCGUCAUAAAAAGGCUGGAGGGAUGUGGCUCCUUCGGGAGUGUUAUAACCUUUAUCGGAAUGUGGUGGUCGGGAUUGAGGAUUGCAACGAAUACCUUCGGGGCUGUUCCACCUGGCCUCUCUUUGGUAUCCUGGUGACGACAGCUUGCUGACGUCGUUAGGAUUCUCCUUUGAACAGGCUAGAGUGUGAGCAAAUUCUUUAAGGAUGUUGACGUAAUGACGUA
rnacentral:rRNA from 1 species